rnacentral:misc_RNA from 1 species
GAACUGCGAUAAGUAAUGUGAAUUGCAGAAUUCAGUGAAUCAUCGAGUCUUUGAACGCACAUUGCGCCCCCUGGCAUUCCGGGGGGCAUGCCUGUCCGAGCGUCAUUGCUGCCCUCAAGCCCGGCUUGUGUGUUGGGUCGUCGUCCCCCCCGGGGGACGGGCCCGAAAGGCAGCGGCGGCACCGUGUCCGGUCCUCGAGCGUAUGGGGCUUUGUCACCCGCUCGAUUAGGGCCGGCCGGGUGCCAGCCGGCGUCUCCAACCUUAUUUUUCUCAGGUUGACCUCGGAUCAGGUAGUGAUACCCGCUGAACUUAAGC